UACGUAGGGGGCGAGCGUUGUCCGGAGUUACUGGGCGUAAAGCGCACGCAGGCGGUCUGCUAAGUUUGGAGUGACAGUUGGUGGCUUAACUGCCAAAGUGCUUCGAAAACUGACAGACUUGAGGGCUUCAGAGGGACACGGAAUUCCGGGUGGAGUGGUGAAAUGACGCAGAUAUCAGGAGGAACACCGGUGGCGAAGGCGGGUCUCUGGGCAGUAACUGACGCUGAGGAGCGAAAGCGUGGGGAGCGAACAGG
rnacentral:rRNA from 1 species